CCCUUAGAUGUUCUGGGCCGCACGCGCGCUACACUGACGAAUGCAACGAGCUUAUAACCUUGGCCGAAAGGUCUGGGUAAUCUCCAAAUUGCGUCGUGAUGGGGAUAGAUUAUUGCAAUUAUUAAUCUUCAACGAGGAAUGCCUAGUAAGCGCAAGUCAUCAGCUUGCGUUGAUUACGUCCCUGCCCUUUGUACACACCGCCCGUCGCUCCUACCGAUUGAAUGGUCCGGUGAAGCGUUCGGACCGUGGCCUUUGGACGGUUCGCCGUCUGUUGGCUGCGGGAAGUUCGUUAAACCUUAUCAUUUAGAGGAAGGAGAAGUCGUANCA
rnacentral:rRNA from 1 species